GAUGAACGCUAGCGAUAGGCCUAACACAUGCAAGUCGAGGGGCAUCACAUGAAGUAGCAAUACGGAUGGUGGCGACCGGCGCACGGGUGAGUAACACGUAUGCAACCUGCCUUCAACAAGGGGAUAACCCGUUGAAAGACGGACUAAUACCCCUAUAACACAGGGGUCCCGCAUGGGAAUAUUUGUUAAAGGACAACCGGUUGAAGAUGGGCAUGCGUUCCAUUAGCUAGUUGGCGGGGUAACGGCCCACCAAGGCAACGAUGGAUAGGGGAACUGAGAGGUUUAUCCCCCACACUGGUACUGAGACACGGACCAGACUCCUACGGGAGGCAGCAGUGAGGAAUAUUGGUCAAUGGACGCAAGUCUGAACCAGCCACGUCGCGUGAAGGAAGACGGCCCUACGGGUUGUAAACUUCUUUUAUACGGGAAUAAAGUGCCCCACGCGUGGGGUUUUGCAUGUACCGUAUGAAUAAGGAUCGGCUAAC
rnacentral:rRNA from 1 species